rnacentral:rRNA from 1 species
GACGAACGCUGGCGGCGUGCUUAACACAUGCAAGUCGAACGGAAAGGCCCUGCUUUUGUGGGGUGCUCGAGUGGCGAACGGGUGAGUAACACGUGAGUAACCUGCCCUUGACUUUGGGAUAACUUCAGGAAACUGGGGCUAAUACCGGAUAGGAGCUCCUGCUGCAUGGUGGGGGUUGGAAAGUUUCGGCGGUUGGGGAUGGACUCGCGGCUUAUCAGCUUGUUGGUGGGGUAGUGGCUUACCAAGGCUUUGACGGGUAGCCGGCCUGAGAGGGUGACCGGCCACAAUGGGACUGAGGUACGGCCCAGACUCCUACGGGGGGCAGCAGUGGGGAAUAUUGCCCAAUGGGCGGAAGCCUGAUGCAGCAACGCCGCGUGCGGGAUGACGGCCUUCGGGUUGUAAACCGCUUUCGCCUGUGACGAAGCGUGAGUGACGGUAAUGGGUAAAGAAGCACCGGCUAACUACGUG